rnacentral:tRNA from 1 species
AGGAUUAUAAUUUAAUUAAAAUAUUUGAUUUGCACUCAAAAAAUAUUAUAUUUUUAUAAUUUAUCUUA